AAAAAUAAGGUUCAGAGACAUGAGAAUUGAAAGUUAGCAACGUACAAAGAACACAUUCAAUAGAUGCAUUCAGGUCAAUCAUAAUGACAGUACUUCCCUGGCCUCUCCACACUGAUUUACAUUUCACAAGUACUGUGAGGGACAGAAAUGAAUUAUGUACAAACCAAAGUCGUUCAAUAUGAGCACAAUUUACACACUCAAAGACCUGAAAACCAGUGUAAAUGACACCAUUUUGGCAUUCCUCCUCAGCUCAUAUUCUGACCGUGCACUGUUUUUCUGCAUGUUAAAUAAAAUGCUCACUAGACUUCUAAAACUCCCUAUAAAACUGUGCAUCAUUCCAUGAUCGGAAGAUCACACGU